AAUAAUGGAGUGUUCAGAAAGAACUAAAAGGAGGAAAAUAUCAGCGAAAGUGGAGGAACAUUUGCGUCUCCUUGAAAAGGAGUCUAUGAUUGAUUUGUUGGCACAUGACUCUGAAAACGAAUACCAACGGGAUGAUUUGUUAGAGCAUACUGAAAGCGAAGAUUCCAUGGACACUUUCUACGAUGCUUGUGAUCAGAACUGUUUUGAGAAUUCAUCAAUUGAUUUAGAAGAUGAAAAUUCCUCAGAUUCUUUUUAUGAUUUUAACAGUUCCUCAUUUGAUGAUUUGGAUUCUGAAAACUGGGUUCCAGGUGAUAUGCCUGGUUGUGAUAGUGACUGUGAUUUGCAUGGAGAUGUGUGUUCUGACUUGGAAGAUGACAAUGAUGAUGAUUCGCAUGGGAUUGCAGAGUGGGCUGCAGAAUUCAACAUACCACAAACAGCACUGUCUGCACUUCUUAAAAUCCUAAGGAGAAAGGGUCUUGAUAUCCCAAUGGAUGGCAGAACUCUUAUGUCAACUGACAGAUCUUGCAAUGUGGCUAAUAUGGCUGGGGGGUCCUACUACCACUUUGGAAUCGAAAAUGCUCUCAUAGCUGAACUAACAUCUUUAGGACAUUUAGCAAAUGUGACUGAUACUCUCACACUUCGAAUUAACAUCGAUGGAUUGCCCUUAUUCCGUAGCUCCAGUUUGAGUCUGUGGCCUAUUCUGGGUAUGAUUAAGGAAAUUCCAGAGUGUAGUGUCUUUGUAAUUGGAGUGUACUCUGGUGUGUCCAAACCCGCAAAUGUGCAAGAGUAUUUACAAGAAUUCAUUGUAGAUAUGAAAGCAAUUUCUCAGAGUGGUAUUGUGUACAAUGGUGUACAUUUCAGGGUACCAUUACCUGAUGCUUUUAUUUGUGAUGCACCUGCUCGUGCCUUUCUUAAAUGCUCCAAAGGCCAUACGGGCUAUUAUGGGUGUGAGAGGUGCACUCAAAAAGGCCAGUACAUUAAUGGGAAGGUGGCUUAUCCUGAAAUAUCAGCAGAGCUCAGGACAGAUGAGCAAUUUGGCAGGCAAGGCUAUCAACAGCACCAACUGUCAGCCUCCCCCCUAAAUGACCUGGGUAUAGGUUUAGUUACCAGUUUUGUGUUAGAUUAUAUGCACCUUGUCUGCUUGGGGGCAAUGCGUAAGUUAAUAUUUCUUUGGUUGAAGGGGCCGCUGAAAUGCAGGCAAUCUAUGAAGUUUUUUGUUGUAAUGUCAGCAUAUAUGGUUUCUAUCAGGCAAUAUCUACCUAGCAAUUUUGCAAGGAAACCACGAUCCUUGUUUGAAUUCAGCACAUGGAAAGCUACAGAGCUUCGGCAAUUUUUACUUUACACUGGGCCUGUUGUUCUCCUCAAUAAUAUACCCAGUAUAAUGUACAGAAACUUUUUACUUCUAUCAGUAUCUAUGAGAAUACUUCUGAGUCCGGCCUUAUGUUCUCCUGACAAUUGUGACUAUGCUGAGGAGAUUUUGAAACUCUUUGUAACAGAUUUUGCUGCAAUUUAUGGUGCUGAAUUUGUCAGCUAUAACAUGCAUUCAUUGAUCCACCUAGCUCAAGAUGCACGAAAUUUCGGCCCGUUAGAUAGUGUUUCAGCUUUUCCCUUUGAGACAUUUUUAGGUAAACUGAAAAAACUUGUCCGUCGGCCUCAAAACCCUGUCCAACAACUCGUCAGGCGAAUCCAUGAGAAGCAGAAAGUGGCAAGCCAAAAGACCACAUCAGUUUUCAGCCCACUUAAACAGCUCCACUUUUCUGGACCAUUGAUUAAUUCAAUUGCAACAUGGGAACAAUACAGGCGUUACAAUGAUGGACAGACACUGAUCUCCUCCUCUCGUGGCGAUGACUGUUUUUCUGUAGGGGGAAGGAUUCUUAUUGUGCGGAACAUUUUGUCACAUUCUGGAAUUGUUAAAGUCCUGUGUAAUUUCUUUGAAACUGCCAAAUCCUUUUUCACCUAUCCAAUGGACUCAUCAUGUCUUGGAAUUCUUUUUGUUUUUAAUUUAUCUGAAGACUUGCAGCUGUUACCUGUGGAGGAGUUAAAAACAAAAAUGGUGUUAUUGCCACUCAAGACUGGAUACGUGGCAUUGCCACUCCUGCACUAG
ensembl:lncRNA